GUUUGAUCCUGGCUCAGAUUGAACGCUGGCGGCAUGCCUUACACAUGCAAGUCGAACGGCAGCACGGGAGCAAUCCUGGUGGCGAGUGGCGAACGGGUGAGUAACAUAUCGGAACGUGCCCGGUAGUGGGGGAUAACCCGGCGAAAGUCGGACUAAUACCGCAUACGACCUACGGGUGAAAGCGGGGGAUCGCAAGACCUCGCGCUAUUGGAGCGGCCGAUAUCAGAUUAGCUAGUUGGUGGGGUAAAGGCCUACCAAGGCGACGAUCUGUAGCUGGUCUGAGAGGACGACCAGCCACACUGGGACUGAGACACGGCCCAGACUCCUACGGGAGGCAGCAGUGGGGAAUUUUGGACAAUGGGCGCAAGCCUGAUCCAGCCAUGCCGCGUGCGGGAGAAGG
rnacentral:rRNA from 1 species